CGCGCGAUUAGUCGUGACAUCAUUAUUAGCUAUUUCGGCGGGAUAGUUAGCAACAGUCGAAUAUAAGACACGUUGUUUUGCAAUUUUGUCAUUAUUAUAUUUAAAAAAAAACAAGAAAUGUGUGACAGUGGUUUCGUGAAGGCGCAAUCAGAUAAUCUUCCUAAAGUUUCUACGGGAAUGAUUGCUGAUUAUUUCAUAAAUAAUGAAUGUUACCGAAUUAAUAUAACCGAAUCAAGUGGAGUUAAAAUAAAAAGAAUGUAACCUUUGAAAUCUAACCUACAAAAAUUAUUGGAGCAAUACGGCUGACGGCAGUUUUAAGAUUGAACACGAUGUAAAUAAGCAAAUAUGAUAUAGCGGUAGCGGCGACGGGAUUGAUUAACUAUCGAUGGCUAAUAAUGACGUCAUACGACAUUUUUGAGCGAAAAAGCCCGAUUCAAAUGUAACAAUUUUUAUUUUGUUAUUAAAAUAAUAAAUAUGCAAGAUAUGUUUUAUAUAUAUUUUUAAGAAUAUAUACGACCUAAAUUAUUAUUUAAAACAAAAAAAUACUGCUGAACCCAAUUGUAAACUCAAAUAAAUAAACUUUUUUUUAAUUAAAAA